AACUAGCCCAGAUCGAAACGGCAUCCUUUUGUUUCGUUUCUUAACGAAACAAAAGAUAUAGUGAAGAGCUGGAAUAGCU
rnacentral:sRNA from 1 species